AUGUUAGAGCAACAAAUCAACUUCCUGAGCUGGAAUGUCAGGGGUCUCAACUGCCCAGACCGCCGCGCGGCGGUCCAUGCUACAAUCGCCUCUUCGUCUUGCCAUGUAGUGUGUCUUCAGGAGACAAAACUCAACAAUGUUGAUCAGUUCACGGCUGCCUUCUUGGGUGGACAUAGGCUCCGUAGUUUUGCGCAGCGCCCAGCAACUGGUACAAGGGGAGGCAUCCUACUUCUAUGGGAUGAUUUAUUAGUUGAAGCAUCCAACGUCACCAACACUUCGUAUUGCUUGUCCGCCAUGAUCCGUGUAAGAGCGACCGACGUGGUCUUCAAGUUCACAUCUGUCUACGGCCCCACCGACCCCUCUUGCAAAGACAUGUUCUUUGCCGAGCUCCUCAGCCAGAAGCCGCCUUUGGGGGUGGCUUGGCUUGCCUCCGGAGACUUUAAUCAAAUUUAUCGAGCGAGAGACAAGAACAAGAGAAAUGUUCACCAUGGUAGGAUCAACCGUUUUCGGGCCACGCUCCAUAGUUGCGAGCUCAAAGAAAUCCAUCUCCAAAAUCGGAGGUUCACUUGGAGCAACGAGAGGGAAAACCCAACGCUAUGCAAGCUUGACUCUUUUUUCUGCAACGCCGAGUGGGAUACAACCUUCAACACGCAUAUCCUCCAUGCACUUUCAUCAUCCCUCUCCGAUCAUUGUCCGCUUUUGCUUGCCGAUGACAAGGGCCCGCGGAGGCCACGAACUUUUAAAUUUGAAAACUUUUGGGCAUCCAUGCCCGGCUUCAACGAGGUGGUCCAAAUGGCGUGGAACGAACGGGUUGACCAUACCGACCCCUAUCAAAUCAUCUUCCACAAGCUCAAAAAGACGGCGAUCCGCCUCUCCGAAUGGAGCAGGGGCCUUUUCUCCAAGGCCAAAAUCCAUCUCCAAGCCGCUCUUUUGGUGAUUCUUCGCCUCGACAUCGCCCAAGAGGAUAGGCCUCUCUCGCCCGAGGAGCGUGACCUACGGGCUAGGCUUAAGAGAAGGGUCAUUGCUUUGGCCGUGAUCGAGAGAUCACGCAAGAAACAGUGUGCGCGAAUCUCCAACCUCAAAGAAGGUGACGCCAAUACUAAAUUCUUCCACCGCCGGGUUAAUGCUAGGAGGAGAAAAAAUCAUAUCCAUCGAAUCAAGAACGAGCAUGGUUGGGUCACCGAACAUGAAGCCAAAGAAAACUUAAUCCAAGACCACUUCUCUCAUGUUAUGAAGAAAGGAGCGAAAAGUUCAAAAGAUUUCAAUUGGGAGGAGCUCAAUAUGGAACGCCUUGACAUGCAUGGCCUUGACUCUCCAAUGACCGAGAUGGAGGUUCUUCAAGCAAUCAACGACAUGCCAAAUGACAAGGCCCCGGGUCCGGAUGGAUUCACGGGCCUAUUCUUCAAAAAGUGUUGGGGCACUGUCAAGCACGACCUCAUGAGGGCCAUUGCUCGUUUCGACUCCCUCCACACUUCGAACCUCCACUGGCUCAACUCUGCGAAUGUGGUGCUCUUGCCAAAAAAGGAUGGGGCAGAGGGGAUUGCAGACUAUAGGCCUAUUAGUCUCAUCCAUGCGAUCGCCAAGAUUAUUGCAAAGGUGCUCUCCACUCGGCUCACUCCGCACAUGACGGACCUCAUCUCCAAUGCCCAAAGCGCCUUCAUCAAAACGAGAAGUAUUCAUGAUAACUUCAUGUAUGUUCGCAAUCUUGCACGACGCCUGCACAAGAGCAAGACCCCAUCCCUCCUUUUCAAAUUAGAUAUUCGCAAGGCAUUCGACUCAGUCAAAUGGGAAUAUAUACUGGGCCUUCUCCAGCGGCGAGGUUUCCCAAGCAAGUUUAGGGAUUGGAUCACGGCGCUUCUUAGUUCUUCAUCAUCGAGGAUUAUCCUCAAUGGCAUUGCCGGCAACCCAAUCAAGCAUGGUCGUGGUUUCCGGCAAGGGGACCCCAUCUCCCCGCUUCUGUUCGUCAUCGCCAUUGACCCGCUCCAAAGAAUCCUUGAUGUGGCUACGCGAAAGGGGCUCCUCCACAAAAUUCGGGGUAGGGGUUCCAUGAUGCGAACCUCCCUUUAUGCGGAUGAUGCGGCCAUCUUCCUGGCUCCGAUCAAAAAGGAUGUUGACAAUCUUGCUAAUAUUUUGAGAGGAUUUGGCGAGGUCACGGGACUUUGCACCAACUUUCAUAAGAGUUCGAUGGUGCCCAUUCGUUGCAAUAAUCUUGACUUGGAUCAUAUCACUCAAAAUCUGCCGGCAACUAGGGCUUCUUUCCCCUUGAGGUACUUGGGGCUCCCCCUCUCUGUUUGGAAGCUAAGGUUGGUGGAUCUUCAAUUUCUUGUGGACAAGGUUGCAUCCAAGUUGACAACGUAUGAGGGUCAAAACAUCACCACCAUUGGGCGCACGGCCCUUGUCAAGUCUGUUCUCACUUCC
rnacentral:rRNA from 1 species